GAUAAACGCUGGCGGCGUGCUUAACACAUGCAAGUCGAACGAAGUUUUUCUUUCGGGAGGAACUUAGUGGCGGACGGGUGAGUAACGCGUGGGUAACCUGCCCUGUACAGGGGGACAACAGCUGGAAACGGCUGCUAAUACCGCAUAAGCCCUUAGCACUGCAUGGUGCAUAGGGAAAAGGAGCAAUCCGGUACAGGAUGGACCCGCGUCUGAUUAGCCAGUUGGCAGGGUAACGGCCUACCAAAGCGAUGAUCAGUAGCCGAUCUGAGAGGAUGUACGGCCACAUUGGGACUGAGACACGGCCCAGACUCCUACGGGAGGCAGCAGUGGGGAAUAUUGCACAAUGGAGGAAACUCUGAUGCAGCGACGCCGCGUGAGUGAAGAAGUAUUUCGGUAUGUAAAGCUCUAUCAGCAGGGAAGAAAAUGACGGUACCUGACUAGGAAGCACCGGCUAAAUACGUG
rnacentral:rRNA from 1 species